UGAAAUUAAUAAAUUAUUAAAUUUUGUUAUUAAUUAUUAUUUUAAAGAAAGUAUUUAUGUAUUUUAGUAAUUGUUUUUAAAAAAUUAUAUUAAUUAUAGAGUAUUAUUUUAUUGUGAAAGAAUUUAUUAAAUUAUUUAUAAGAAGAAUUUAAUAUUUGUACCUUGUGUAUCAGGGUUUAUUAAUUUUGAUUUAGAUAAUUAAUUCUCGAAUUUAAAAGGGCUAAAUUUAUAUUAUUUUAUUGUGGAAUAAAUAUUUUUAAUAUAAUUUUAGUAAUGAAACGUUAUUCGUUUUUAAAUAUAUCUAGUUAUUUAAGAAAAAAAUUUAAUUUUAUUAUUUUUAAUAUAGAAUUAUUUUGAAAAUUUUAUAUUAAGAAAAGUUUAUAAUAAUAGGGAUUAGCUUUUUAUUAAAAUUUUAAAAAUUAAUAAAAAUAAUAAAAAAUAUUGGAUUUAAAUUAUCUAUAAUUAUAAUUAUGUUAUAGUAAAUUUUAUUUAUAAAAUAAUUUUUAUUGAUUUUAAAUUUUUUAUUAAAUUAUAAUUUUUAAUUUAUAAAAAUUAGGAAUAAUGAUAAAAUUAGUAAAUUAUUAUGUAAUUUAUAGGGUGAAAUUAAAGGUUAAAUAAAGGAAUUCGGCAAAAAAUUUUCUACCUGUUUAUUAAAAACAUGGCUUUAUGAAAAUAAUUUAAGGUCUAACCUGCCCACUGAGUAUUUAAAUGGCCGCGGUAAUUUGACCGUGCUAAGGUAGCAUAAUCAUUAGUUUUUUAAUUGAAAGCUGGAAUGAAUGGUUGAAUAAGAAAAUAACUGUCUCUAUUUAAUUUUUAUUGAAUUUUAUUUUUAAGUAAAAAAGCUUAAAUUUAAUUAAAAGACGAGAAGACCCUUUAGAGUUUUAUAUAAAAUUAUUUUUAAUAUUUUAGAAAUAUAAAGUUGAAAUUAAUUUUAUAAUUAGUUGGGGUGAUUGAAAAAUUUAUAAAACUUUUUUUUAUUUAGACCAUAAAUUAAUGAAUUUUUGAUCCAUUAAUAAUGAUUAUAAGAUUAAAUUACCUAAGGGAUAACAGCGUAAUUUUUUUUGAGAGUUCUAAUCGAUAAAGAAGAUUGCGACCUCGAUGUUGGAUUAAAAUUUAUUUUUGGUGUAGGAGCUAAGAAAUUAGGUCUGUUCGACCUUUAAAAUUUUACAUGAUCUGAGUUUAAACCGGUGUGAGCCAGGUUGGUUUCUAUCUUUAAUAAAAAUUAAUAUUUUAGUACGAAAGGACCAAGUAUUGAAUAAAUUAUUUUUUUUAUGA
rnacentral:rRNA from 1 species